rnacentral:tRNA from 1 species
GCCGAUGUAGCUCAGCUGGUAGAGCAGCUGAUUUGUAAUCAGCCUGUCGGGGGUUCAAAUCCUCUCAUCGGCUCCA